GGCCCCAUCGUCUAGCGGUUAGGACAUCGGCCUCUCACGCCGGUAACACGAGUUCGAGUCUCGUUGGGGUCACCA
rnacentral:tRNA from 1 species